CAAUAAUAGGUUGACCGUUAAAUCCUUUUCAUUAAAAGAGUGGAAAAAUGCCCAGCCAACACCAUCCAAUUU